GAUGAACGCUGGCGGCGUGCCUAAUACAUGCAAGUCGAGCGAACGGACGAGGAGCUUGCUCCUCUGACGUUAGCGGCGGACGGGUGAGUAACACGUGGAUAACCUACCUAUAAGACUGGGAUAACUUCGGGAAACCGGAGCUAAUACCGGAUAAUAUAUUGAACCGCAUGGUUCAAUAGUGAAAGACGGUUUUGCUGUCACUUAUAGAUGGAUCCGCGCCGCAUUAGCUAGUUGGUAAGGUAACGGCUUACCAAGGCAACGAUGCGUAGCCGACCUGAGAGGGUGAUCGGCCACACUGGAACUGAGACACGGUCCAGACUCCUACGGGAGGCAGCAGUAGGGAAUCUUCCGCAAUGGGCGAAAGCUUGACGGAGCAACGCCGCGUGAGUGAUGAAGGUCUUCGGAUCGUAAAACUCUGUUAUUAGGGAAGAACAAAUGUGUAAGUAACUAUGCACGUCUUGACGGUACCUAAUCAGAAAGCCACGGCUAACUACGU
rnacentral:rRNA from 1 species